UACGAAGGGGGCUAGCGUUGCUCGGAAUCACUGGGCGUAAAGGGCGCGUAGGCGGGAUGGCAAGUCGGUCGUGAAAUCCCUCGGCUCAACCGAGGAGCGUCGGCCGAUACUGCCAUUCUUGAGGGAUGCAGAGGAGACUGGAAUUCCCGGUGUAGCGGUGAAAUGUGUAGAGAUCGGGAGGAACACCGGUGGCGAAGGCGGGUCUCUGGACAGUUCCUGACACUGAGGCACGAAGGCCAGGGGAGCAAACGGG
rnacentral:rRNA from 1 species